rnacentral:tRNA from 2 species
GGGGUUAUAGCUCAGCUGGGAGAGCAUCUGCCUUACAAGCAGGGGGUCACAGGUUCGAGCCCUGUUAACCCCA